rnacentral:rRNA from 1 species
GGAGUCUAGCAUGUGCGCGUAGUCAUUGGGACUAGCGAAACCUAAAGGCAAAAUGAAAGUGAAGGCGCGCUCUACGCGCGCCGAGGGAGGAUGGGCCGCGUCACGACGCGGCCCCGCACUCCCGGGGCGUUUCGUUCUCAUUGCGAGAUGAGGCGCACCCAGAGCGUACACGCUGGGACCCGAAAGAUGGUGAACUAUGCCUGGUCAGGACGAAGUCAGGGGAAACCCUGAUGGAGGUCCGUAGCGAUUCUGACGUGCAAAUCGAUCGUCGGAACUGGGUAUAGGGGCGAAAGACUAAUCGAACCAUCUAGUAGCUGGUUCCCUCCGAAGUUUCCCUCAGGAUAGCUGGUGCUCGUUUUACGAGUCUCAUCCGGUAAAGCGAAUGAUUAGAGGCAUUGGGGUCGAAACGGCCUCAACCUAUUCUCAAACUUUAAAUGGGUGAGAUCUCCGGCUUGCUUAGGCAUUGAAGCCGCGAGACUUAGGAUCAGAGUGCCAAGUGGGCCAUUUUUGGUAAGCAGAACUGGCGCUGUGGGAUGAACCAAACGCAGAGUUAAAGCGCCUAAAUCGACGCUUAUGGGAUACCAUGAAAGGCGUUGGUAACUUAAGACAGCAGGACGGUGGCCAUGGAAGUC